UGGGGAAUAUUGGACAAUGGGCGCAAGCCUGAUCCAGCCAUGCCGCGUGUGUGAAGAAGGCCUUCGGGUUGUAAAGCACUUUUGUCCGGAAAGAAAUCCUGUCGGCUAAUACCCGGCGGGGAUGACGGUACCGGAAGAAUAAGCACCGGCUAACUUCGUGCCAGCAGCCGCGGUAAUACGAAGGGGUGCAAGCGUUACUCGGAAUUACUGGGCGUAAAGCGUGCGUAGGUGGUUUGUUAAGUCUGAUGUGAAAGCCCUGGGCUCAACCUGGGAACUGCAUUGGAAACUGGCUGACUGGAGUGCGGUAGAGGGGUGUGGAAUUCCCGGUGUAGCAGUGAAAUGCGUAGAUAUCGGGAGGAACACCAGUGGCGAAGGCGACACCCUGGACCAGCACUGACACUGAGGCACGAAAGCGUGGGGAGCAAAGCAGGAUUAGAUACCC
rnacentral:rRNA from 1 species